UACAGAGGAGCCAAGCGUUGUCCGGAUUGACUGGGCGUAAAGCGCGUGUAGGCGGUCCGGUAAGUCCGCUGUGAAAGUCGGGGGCUCAACCCUUGAAUGCCGGUUGAUACUGUCGGGGCUAGAGUCCGGAAGAGGCGAGUGGAAUUCCCGGUGUAGCGGUGAAAUGCGCAGAUAUCGGGAGGAACACCAAUUGGCGAAGGCAGUUAACUAUUCGACACCUGACAUUGAGGCACGAAAGCCGUGGGGAGGCAAGACGG
rnacentral:rRNA from 1 species